GAUUUUGCGAAGGACUAGACCUUAAUUCCUUAAUC
rfam:Leeuwenhoekiella blandensis MED217 scf_1099517004314 genomic scaffold, whole genome shotgun sequence.